GGAUAUGAGUAGAGCGGCGGACGGGUGAGUAACGCGUAGGAAUCUACCUAGUAGAAGGGGAUAGCCCGGGGAAACUCGGAUUAAUACCGUAUACCUCCUUCGGGAGAAAGAAGGCCUCUCAUUGAAGCUUUCGCUACUAGAUGAGCCUGCGUAAGAUUAGCUUGUUGGUGAGGUAAAGGCUCACCAAGGCGACGAUCUUUAGCGGGUCUGAGAGGACGAUCCGCCACAUUGGGACUGAGACACGGCCCAGACUCCUACGGGAGGCAGCAGUGGGGAAUAUUGGACAAUGGGCGCAAGCCUGAUCCAGCCAUACCGCGUGUGUGAAGAAGGCCCUAGGGUUGUAAAGCACUUUAAGUUGGGAAGAAAAGUUAUUGGUUAAUACCCAAUAGCCGUGACAUUACCAUCAGAAUAAGGACCGGCUAAUUCCGUGCCAGCAAG
rnacentral:rRNA from 1 species